ensembl:misc_RNA
AUCAUGUUCCAAUGCAUUAUAUGAGUAUUCAAUCAAAGAAGUUAGGUUGUUCUCCAGAACUGGCUCUCUCCUACAGGUCAAAAC